rnacentral:rRNA from 1 species
CUGGGUUUGACAUCCCGCGAAUCCCUAUGAAAUUAGGGAGUGCCCUUCGGGGAACGCGGAGACAGGUGCUGCAUGGCUGUCGUCAGCUCGUGCCGUGAGGUGUUGGGUUAAGUCCCGCAACGAGCGCAACCCUUGUUGCCAGUUGCUACCAGGUAAUGCUGGGCACUCUGGCGAGACUGCCCGGGUCAACCGGGAGGAAGGUGGGGACGACGUCAAGUCAUCAUGGCCCUUACAUCCAGGGCUACACACGUACUACAAUGGCAGGUACAAAGGGUUGCCAAGCCGCGAGGCCGCACUAAUCCCAGAAAGCCUGUCUCAGUCCGGAUUGCAGUCUGCAACUCGACUGCAUGAAGCUGGAAUCGCUAGUAAUCCCGGAUCAGCAUGCCGGGGUGAAUACGUUCCC